AGUGAACGCUGGCGGUAGGCCUAACACAUGCAAGUCGAACGGCAGCACAGUAAGAGCUUGCUAUUACGGGUGGAGAGUGGCGGACGGGUGAGGUAUACAUCGCAAUCCACUUUUUCGUGGGGGAUAACGUAGGGCAACUUACGCUAAUACCGCAUACGACCUACGGGUGAAAGCAGAGGAUCUUCGGACUUUGCGCGAUCGCAUGAGCCGAUGUCGGAUUAGCUAGUUGGCGGGGUAACGGCCCACCAAGGCGACGAUCCGUAGCCGGUCUGAGCGGAUGAUGAGCGACACUGGAACUGAGCGACGGUCCAGACUCCGACGGAAGGCAGCGGUUGGUAAGAUUGGACGAUGGGCGGAAUCCUGAUCCAGCGGUGCCGCGUGGAUGAAGAAGGCCUUCGGGUUGUAAAGCCCUUUUGUUGUGGUAGAAAAGCUGCAGGUGAAAACCCGGCUGUUCUGACGGUACCCGAAGAAGAAGCACCGGCUAACUUCGUG
rnacentral:rRNA from 1 species